GUGUUUGCUUUGGCUGCACAUAUCCUAAAACUAGAGUGAUAAAGAGAUAAUUAGCCUGGUCCCUGCACAAGGAGCACAUGGAAAUUCAUGAAACUUUCCACCUUAAA